rnacentral:tRNA from 1 species
GUGCAUGUCGUCUAGUGGACUAGGAUGCCUGGUUGUGAUUCAGGCGACACGAGUUCGAAUCUCGUCAUGCACUCCA